rnacentral:rRNA from 1 species
AUUGAACGCUGGCGGCAGGCCUAACACAUGCAAGUCGAACGAGUGGCGGACGGGUGAGUAAUGUCUGGGAAACUGCCUGAUGGAGGGGGAUAACUACUGGAAACGGUAGCUAAUACCGCAUACAAUCAGAUGUGCCCCGAUGGGAUUAGCUAGUUGGUGGGGUAACGGCUCACCAAGGCGGCGAUCCCUAGCUGGUCUGAGAGGAGGACCAGCUACACUGCAACUGUGACACGGUCCAGACGCCUACGGGAGGCAGGAGUGGGGAAGAGUGCACAAUGGGCGCAAGCCUGAUGCAGCCAUGCCGCGUGUAUGAAGAAGGCCUUCGGGUUGUAAAGUACUUUCAGCGGGGAGGCGUUACCCGCAGAAGAAGCACCGGCUAACUCCGUGCCAGCAGCCGCGGUAAUUC